rnacentral:rRNA from 1 species
CCUACGGGUGGCAGCAGUGGGGAAUAUUGCACAAUGGGCGCAAGCCUGAUGCAGCCAUGCCGCGUGUGUGAAGAAGGCCUUCGGGUUGUAAAGCACUUUCAGCGGGGAGGAAGGCGGUGAGGUUAAUAACCUCAUCGAUUGACGUUACCCGCAGAAGAAGCACCGGCUAACUCCGUGCCAGCAGCCGCGGUAAUACGGAGGGUGCAAGCGUUAAUCGGAAUUACUGGGCGUAAAGCGCACGCAGGCGGUCUGUCAAGUCGGAUGUGAAAUCCCCGGGCUCAACCUGGGAACUACAUUCGAAACUGGCAGGCUAGAGUCUUGUAGAGGGGGGUAGAAUGCCAGGUGUAGCGGUGAAAUGCGUAGAGAUCUGGAGGAAUACCGGUGGCGAAGGCGGCCCCCUGGACAAAGACUGACGCUCAGGUGCGAAAGCGUGGGGAGCAAACAGGAUUAGAUACCCCAGUAGUC